rnacentral:rRNA from 1 species
AUUGAACGCUGGCGGCAGGCCUAACACAUGCAAGUCGAGCGGAUGAAGGGAGCUUGCUCCUGGAUUCAGCGGCGGACGGGUGAGUAAUGCCUAGGAAUCUGCCUGGUAGUGGGGGAUAACGUCCGGAGACGGGCGCUAAUACCGCAUACGUCCUGAGGGAGAAAGUGGGGGAUCUUCGGACCUCACGCUAUCAGAUGAGCCUAGGUCGGAUUAGCUAGUUGGUGGGGUAAAGGCCUACCAAGGCGACGAUCCGUAACUGGUCUGAGAGGAUGAUCAGUCACACUGGAACUGAGACACGGUCCAGACUCCUACGGGAGGCAGCAGUGGGGAAUAUUGGACAAUGGGCGAAAGCCUGAUCCAGCCAUGCCGCGUGUGUGAAGAAGGUCUUCGGAUUGUAAAGCACUUUAAGUUGGGAGGAAGGGCAGUAAGUUAAUACCUUGCUGUUUUGACGUUACCAGCAGAAUAAGCACCGGCUAACUUCGUG